CUCGCCGGUUCAUCUGUGUUUUUUCCUGCAUCAUUCUGUGUCGUCUCCCUGCAUCUCCAUUUUAGGUUUCAGUUCUGUGUUGUGUUAGUUUUUUCCAGUUUAGGUUUCACCUCCUGCUGGCCUCCUUCGCCCGUUCCUAGAUGCCCCUGGUCUCAUAUCGCACUGGACUUCAUCACUGGUCUCCCACCAUCCUCAGUCUCAGAUCAACACAGCCCUGCCCUCCAGCACUAUCAGCAGCAAGAGCAGAAGCAACCCCCCAAACAGCAACAUUGUACCCCAUCAGAUCUACAUUAUGAAGAUGGGUGUAACCAACAUGUGUUAGAGCUGGCAGGCCCCAUUCACAGCAGCAACACUUGUUGUUCAGAUCAGACCAGUUUCUAUAUUAAGGAAGUGAAACUUACACAAUCACUGA